rnacentral:rRNA from 1 species
CCUAUGGGAGGCAGCAGUGAGGAAUAUUGGUCAAUGGGCUUACGCCUGAACCAGCCAAGUCGCGUGAGGGAAGACUGCCCUAUGGGUUGUAAACCUCUUUUGUCAGGGAGCAACGCCGGCUACGUGUAGCCGGACUGAGAGUACCUGAAGAAAAAGCAUCGGCUAACUCCGUGCCAGCAGCCGCGGUAAUACGGAGGAUGCGAGCGUUAUCCGGAUUUAUUGGGUUUAAAGGGUGCGUAGGCGGAAUGCCAAGUCAGCGGUAAAAUCGCGGGGCUCAACCUCGCUCCGCCGUUGAAACUGGCGUUCUUGAGUGGGCGAGAAGUAUGCGGAAUGCGUGGUGUAGCGGUGAAAUGCAUAGAUAUCACGCAGAACUCCGAUUGCGAAGGCAGCUUACCAAGCUACUUCUGACGUUGAGGCACGAAAGCGUGGGGAGCAAACAGGAUUAGAUACCCUGGUAGUC